GGGGGAAGGUGGCAAAGGUUAGGGGUGAGGAAGAGGAGGACAGCUACAAAAUUUAAGUGGGGAUGAAGAUAGAUGGAAUAUUUGAAGGUCUAAUGGACAGUUGCAAUAUUUAAUGGGUCUGAAGAGAAUUAUGAGAACAGCUGCAAUAUUGAAAGGUAGAAUAAUGGUCAGAUGAAGAGUUGCAAUAGUUAAAAGUAGAAAGAUGAACAAAUUUAAAAGUGGGGUGAAGAUAGAUGGAAUAUUUGAAGGUCUAAUGGACAGUUGCAAUAUUUAAUGAUCUGAAGAGAACUAUGAGAACAUUUGCAAUAUUGAAAGGUAGAAUAAUGAUCAGAUGAAGAGUUGCAAUAUUUAAAAGCAGAAGGAUUGUCAUGAUUUCAUCAUUCAAGGAGUGGCCUGUGGCCGCGGGAGUCCCCACCAUUUUGAUUGAGAGAGCGGGAAGAAACACUAGCAGGCGGGAAACAGAAGCUUUUCAAAUCAUUUCGUUAAUACUGCCAACGCUGAGCUAUGUGUGGGCUGCAUGACCCACUAUGACCAAUUGCAUGUGUUAGGUUAUUAAUAAAUAACAAUCCAUAGCCGUUAGGGCGUUUUAGCGUAAGUGUUGCACAGAAAACGAGAUGCCGUAUGGCGAGAGCUGGCAUCUUGACCGCGGAACCUGGCCUGAGCAUUGUGGGACGGCCGCCAUCUUCCAGCCAUCUCUCCUGCCCAGACUCCGCCGCGAGCACACGUCCCUCGCCGUCCUCCCAUACCACGUUGAGCAUCGUGGGGUUUUCCUGCCUUGUAGUAUCCACAAUUCCAGUGAUUGUAUACUCAGGUCUAGGGAAGCCCGUGGGAGGAAGAAGGGCACGGUGCGUUGCAGUGAGGAAUGAGAAGAGGACAGAAGGACUCCAGGCCUAACAGGCCAUGAGGAAGAUCAGGGUGUGGCUUGGCUUCUCCCCACCUGCAGCUAAGUAAUCUAAUUCCAGGGAUGUUUUAGCAUAGCUACUAGGUUGCUGUGUGCUUGGUGUUAAUUAAUUAUUCUUAAUUUCCAGCGAGUUUCUUUGUUGUUUUCAAUAAACUUAAGAGCACGUUUAUCUGGCUUUUGCUUACCCUAUGAGAGAUGUGAUUGGUUAGAUAUUUAAAUAAAUAAUAAGGACUAGAGGGGCUGAGUCUGAUAACUCAAUUUCCAGUUAUUUAUUUUAUAUUUUUUUAUUGCUGGGAAUUUACGGGUUUUCAGAAGUCCAGACCUUUCAAGAACCCCACAAGGAUGAACAAAUUAAAAAGUGGGUUGAAGAUAGAUGGAAUAUUUGAAGGUCUAAUGGACAGUUGCAAUAUUUAAUGGUCUGAUGAAAACUGACAACAC